ACGGGUGAGUAACACGUGAGUAAUCUGCCCCUGGCUUUGGGAUAGCCACCGGAAACGGUGAUUAAUACCGGAUAUGACCACUUCACGCAUGUGUUGUGGUGGAAAGUUUUUCGGCCAGGGAUGUGCUCGCGGCCUAUCAGCUUGAUGGUGAGGUAAUGGCUCACCAUGGCUUCGACGGGUAGCCGGCCUGAGAGGGUGACCGGUCACACUGGGACUGAGACACGGCCCAGACUCCUACGGGAGGCAGCAGUGGGGAAUAUUGGACAAUGGGCGGAAGCCUGAUCCAGCAACGCCGCGUGAGGGAUGACGGCCUUCGGGUUGUAAACCUCUUUCAGUACCGACGAAGCGCAAGUGACGGUAGGUACAGAAGAAGCACCGGCCAACUACGUGCCAGCAGCCGCGGUAAUACGUAGGGUGCGAGCGUUGUCCGGAAUUAUUGGGCGUAAAGGGCUCGUAGGCGGUUUGUCGCGUCGGGAGUGAAAACCAGGUGCUUAACACCUGGCUUGCUUUCGAUACGGGCAGACUAGAGGUAUUCAGGGGAGAACGGAAUUCCUGGUGUAGCGGUGAAAUGCGCAGA
rnacentral:rRNA from 5 species